UACAGAGGAUGCAAGCGUUGUCCGGAUUUAUUGGGCGUAAAGAGCUCGUAGGCGGCUUGUCGCGUCGACUGUGAAAACCCGAGGCUCAACUUCGGGCUUGCAGUCGAUACGGGCAGGCUAGAGUUCGGUAGGGGAGACUGGAAUUCCUGGUGUAGCGGUGAAAUGCGCAGAUAUCAGGAGGAACACCGAUGGCGAAGGCAGGUCUCUGGGCCGAUACUGACGCUGAGGAGCGAAAGCGUGGGGAGCGAACAGG
rnacentral:rRNA from 1 species